AUCAUAGUCCAACAACGACACUAGGAAACUGGUCAGGGCAGGAAUGCAGCAGCCAUAACUUGUGAAAUUGUGUGGGCUAUUACAUA
rnacentral:SRP_RNA from 1 species